UUUCUCUCUUCCUUCCUCCUCUCUGGCUUUCCCGUCUUUCUAAGAUCUGUUCGCCAUGGAUGUUUUUUCCUGGUUUUCGUCGUUGAAUUUGGGUAGAUCUUUUCCCGAUCUACAAUUCGAUGGUGGUUUCGAGCGAAUUAAGCGUUUGGAAGCUGUUCGAUCUCCGGUAUUCCAUGGCUACAGUUCGAGCAUCUCUCCUCAUCUUAUGAGCAUCUGAUCAGGGACGAUAUUGAUGCUCGUGAUAGAUCUGAGAAGAAGCUUCGAGAGAGACGAUUCAUGCCGUUCUAUACCGCAGAUCUGGCGGAAUCGAAGCAGAUCUUGAUGAAUAUCAACAAAUCUUGGCCGAUCGUGGUUCUUUGUAAACAUUGUAUCAUAUUUUGAUGGUGAUGCAAUAUUAUGUUGAGGUUAUUGGGAUAUGGGGAGGGAUUUUUGGGGUUAAAGGUUGUUUAGAGGGAUGUAUAAGAUAUCGGAGACGGAAGGCCCGAGGGAGGCCUGGGUUCCGAUCGAUCUUUGUCAUCCGACCUUUGCCAUGACAGGUGCGCUUGCUUGGCAGGUCACAAAAUCUUAAUAAAAAAAAGAAAUUUUUUGGUUUUGGAGGGAGAUCGCACGGGGAUUGCCCGGGAUCUUUCCUUCGGUGUGUGCGUGUGCUUGUGUGUCCUGCUUUUUUUCUUUUUUCUCGUUCUGUUCUCUAUAUCCUCGCUUGACUUUACACAACGCAGUGCAUCAAGACGAAUGAGCCGUACAUCCAGAGAAUCUCCUAACAUCGUCCCUCUAAGGUAAACUCUACCAAAUUUGUGCCUUUUGAUAUGCAUCUAGAACGAGUAGACAAUUCAUAUAUAAUUUAUUCACAAGUCAUAUAAUUAAAUUGCCAUAUAUAAUUUCUUCACAAGUCAUAAUUCUAAGAUUCAUAUAAUAAUUAUCAUAUAAUCUUAAAGCUUCAUAUAAUAAUUAUCAUAUAUUCUACGCUUCGUAUAAUCAUUAUCAUAUAAUUCUAAGCUUCAUAUAAUCAUAUGACUACAGUAAUCACAAUUCUAUUCAUGUAUGUUUUAAAUUCGUUAGAUAAUCAUAUAUAGUUAUUAGCUUAAUCUUACAAUUCUAAGAAUAGAAUUUUAUCAUUUGAUCACUAGUCUCGAGUUAUGUAAUGCAAUAUCCAAUUGUUAAACGGCUUUUGGAGAUUAUUAUUGUCGCUUAUAAUUCGAUCUGUAUUCUCGUUUUUAAUUAAACGGGUACGAGAAUUAGCAAUGCAAGUCAAGUAUAAAAUACGAUGGUGUAAUGAUUUUGUUAUACAGAAUUCAGUUUAAGCAUCGUCUUACUACAAUAACCUAUAUCAAAUUACACUCGCAAACACAUCGUCUUCGAUUAACUAUUGAUUGUGCCGUUUCAGCACUAUAUAUUUGCACUUUUUAAUUUUGAGAAUUAUUUGAAUCUAUUUAUUCCUUCCAUAACGUUUCUGUUGGUAUGUAUCUGGUGAUCCAACAAACAUUAUUUAUUUAAAGGCAUCGCUCUCUAGCAUUUGUCUAGUUUUUGUAUGAUAUUGAUUAAGAGUUGUUUAUUUAUAGAUUUCUCUCUUGAGCUUAAAGUUGAGCAGUGACUUUGCGAUUGUCUCAUGCUCUUAUGUACCUUGGUAUGUUCUGGACCCACCUAUGUUUUGAGAUUUGUUUUCUGUAAUAUAGAGAAAACCAUGUGGUUGUAUAUGUCGGUUGGAACUUGUUUGUAGCUGGUCGUGUUUACAAAUGUACAGUUUUGUCUUCUUUGCUGCGAAGAAUGCUCGUCACAAUGGUCACAGCAUUGCCCCAACGUCGGUAUUUUUUGUUAAGACUCUUCGUUGUCGGCAUUUGGUCAAGUUUCAUGGUGGUUCGUUCGUAUCAAAACCAAAUGAUCCAAAGAGGUGAUGAAAGAGUAGAAUGGGCAAUGUUCCCAAUUGUUCUUUGCUUUCAAGUAUUAUUAUUCAUUAUUUUUAGUUAUCCUUAUUUAUGUCAUUAUUUAGUAUUUAUUUUUAUUAUUAUCGUUCUAUUCAACAAAGAAUCACUGUUUAGUUCAUUUAUUCAAAGUUCGUUCCAGAAUUGUUAGAAUUAA